rnacentral:rRNA from 1 species
UGAGGAACCCACCCCGGAGACCGGAAUAACCCUCCGAAAGGAGAGCUAAUACCGGAUGUCCUCAUCGGAUCGCAUGUUCUGAUGAGGAAAUGGAUUCCGCUCCGGGACGGCCUCGCGGCCUAUCAGCUAGUUGGUGAGGUAACGGCCCACCAAGGCGACGACGGGUAGCUGGUCUGAGAGGACGAUUAGCCACACUGGGACUGAGACACGGCCCAGACUCCUACGGGAGGCAGNAG